AUUGAACGCUGGCGGCAGGCCUAACACAUGCAAGUCGAACGAGUGGCGGACGGGUGAGUCAUGUCUGGGAAACUGCCUGAUGGAGGGGGAUAACUAGUGGAACCGGUAGCUAAUACCGCAUACCAUCAGAUGUGCCCAGAUGGGAUGAGGCAUUUGGUGGGGUAACGGCUCACCAAGGCCACGAUCCCUAGCAGGUCUGAGAGGCUGACCGGCCACACUGGAACUGAGACACGGUCCAGACUCCGACGGGAGGCAGCAGUGGGGAAUAUUGCACAAUGGGCGCAAGCCUGAUGCAGCAAUGCCGCGUGUGUGAAGAAGGCCUUCGGGUUGUAAAGUACUUUCAGCAGGGAAGCGUUACCUAACCAAGAAGCAACGGCUAACUCCGUGCCAGCAGCCGCGGUAAUAC
rnacentral:rRNA from 1 species